CUUCACCUACCUACCUGCCUGGAGCCUGGCCUUGUUGGAACUGUCUGUCUGUGUCCACGUCUUUGCUAGAUCAUUUAUGUACCUCAAACAGCAGAGGUCCUAGUACAGAUCCAUAUGGAACACCAGUGAUCACAGACCUCCAGCUAAAGCAUUCAUGAAAAAGAAGAAAAACCCCAAAGAAUGAAUGACAGGAAAAUGUUACAACCUCAAAGCAACAUGCAGAAGCAGCGGCAAGUGCAUCAGCCCUCCUCUCUCUCCCAUCUGCCUCAGCAAAAGCAGAGGCUCCUCCACCAUCCACCAUGCAAGGAACAGCAAAGACCCCAAAGAGACCAUGAUCUAAAGUCCAUCAGAAACCACUGUUGACCGCAUCAGUUCAACGAGCCUCAGGCUCUCUUUCUCAGUAUAGCAACACAAUGCACGCGUUAAUCACGUUGCACUCCAAUGGAUGAUUCAUUUUGUUUUAAUUGUGCUCUUUCUUGUAUAAUUUUGUCUAUUCUAUAUUUUCCUUAUUAAUGCUAUGUAUUUGCAGCUAUGUGCCCGUGAUGCUACUGCAGG